rnacentral:siRNA from 1 species
CGCAUAUCUCAGGAACUAGUGGA